GGCUCAGGUUUAGCGUGUCUGUCCGCAUGCUUGAGUGAAAUUAAAGACCGACUAAACGUGUAGUGCUGAAGGUAGAGUAAUUUCGGACGCGGGUUCAACUCCCGCCAGCUCCACCA
rnacentral:tRNA from 1 species